GUGUCAGCCGCCGCGGUAAUACGGAGGGGGCUAGCGUUGUUCGGAAUUACUGGGCGUAAAGCGCACGUAGGCGGACCGGAAAGUCAGAGGUGAAAUCCCAGGGCUCAACCUUGGAACUGCCUUUGAAACUCCUGGUCUUGAGGUCGAGAGAGGUGAGUGGAAUUCCGAGUGUAGAGGUGAAAUUCGUAGAUAUUCGGAGGAACACCAGUGGCGAAGGCGGCUCACUGGCUCGAUACUGACGCUGAGGUGCGAAAGCGUGGGGAGCAAACAGGAUUAGAAACCCUCGUAGUCC
rnacentral:rRNA from 1 species